GCCAGGGGGGGUGCUAUACUGCAGUCGAGCGAACAGAGAAGGAGCUUGCUCCUUUGACGUUAGCGGCGGACGGGUGAGUAACACGUGGGCAACCUACCUUAUAGUUUGGGAUAACUCCGGGAAACCGGGGCUAAUACCGAAUAAUCUAUUUCACUUCAUGGUGAAAUACUGAAAGACGGUUUCGGCUGUCGCUAUAAGAUGGGCCCGCGGCGCAUUAGCUAGUUGGUGAGGUAACGGCUCACCAAGGCGACGAUGCGUAGCCGACCUGAGAGGGUGAUCGGCCACACUGGGACUGAGACACGGCCCAGACUCCUACGGGAGGCAGCAGUAGGGAAUCUUCCACAAUGGGCGAAAGCCUGAUGGAGCAACGCCGCGUGAGUGAAGAAGGUUUUCGGAUCGUAAAACUCUGUUGUAAGGGAAGAACAAGUACAGUAGUAACUGGCUGUACCUUGACGGUACCUUAUUAGAAAGCCACGGCUAACUACGUGCCAGCAGCCGCGGUAAUACGUAGGUGGCAAGCGUUGUCCGGAAUUAUUGGGCGUAAAGCGCGCGCAGGCGGUCCUUUAAGUCUGAUGUGAAAGCCCACGGCUCAACCGUGGAGGGUCAUUGGAAACUGGGGGACUUGAGUGCAGAAGAGGAAAGUGGAAUUCCAAGUGUAGCGGUGAAAUGCGUAGAGAUUUGGAGGAACACCAGUGGCGAAGGCGACUUUCUGGUCUGUAACUGACGCUGAGGCGCGAAAGCGUGGGGAGCAAACAGG
rnacentral:rRNA from 1 species